GGGGACCUUUGGGGUUACAGCAUUUGUCUUCCCAGCAAAUUCACCAACACUUGCUGAUGAUUGCAUGCACUUCAUCAUGUAUAUACUUUAAAUUCAUUGUGCAAAGGCUUGUCCUCUCAGCUGACCUCUUGCUGCGUUCACAGGAAGUAAGAUACAGCUGUCAUGAAACAUUGAAGCCAUGGAAGACUGAAGAAUAGGGGACAAGGUCGGAGAUGUCCAAGGAGCAGUAAGAGGAAAAGGGGUAUCCACUGAAGGUUUGAUCCUGCAAUACACUGAAUAUGCUGAACAUUUGAGGAAGGCAGAGGAAUUUGAGAGCGUGGAGGUAUCUCCUGGCUACAGACAUGAAGAAAUGUGUUGCACCAGCUAUGUCUUGUGCACCUUUGUGCAAAAUCUUUUCAGGACAGCAAGAGCAAGACAAAACAGUGGCACUUCAAAAAAAAAAGAAAAGAUAAAAAGAAGUCUAGUAAGAAACGCUUCCUGGAGAUCUGGAGGGAAAUCUUACCAUCAUCCCCAGUAUUCAAAGAUUGCUCUAUUC